rnacentral:rRNA from 1 species
AUACGUAGGGGGCGAGCGUUGUCCGGAAUUAUUGGGCGUAAAGGGUUCGCAGGCGGUCUGAUAAGUCAGAUGUGAAAGGCAAUGGCUCAACCAUUGUAAGCAUUUGAAAAUGUCAGACUUUAGUUAAGGUGAGGAAAGUGGAAUUCCUAGUGUAGUGGUGAAAUGCGUAGAUAUUAGGAGGAAUACCAGUGGCGAAGGCGACUUUCUGGACUUAUACUGACGCUGAGGAACGAAAGCGUGGGGAGCAAACAGGAUUAGAUACCCUGGUAGUCCACGCUGUAAACGAUGAAUACUAGGUGUGGGGGACUGACCCCCUCCGUGCCGCAGUUAACACAAUAAGUAUUCCACCUGGGGAGUACGAUCGAAAGAUUGAAACUCAAAGGAAUUGACGGG